rnacentral:rRNA from 1 species
AGAGUUUGAUCCUGGCUCAGGACGAACGCUGGCGGCGCGCCUAACACAUGCAAGUCGAACGAGCGAGAGAGAGCUUGCUUUCUCGAGCGAGUGGCGAACGGGUGAGUAACGCGUGAGGAACCUGCCUCAAAGAGGGGGACAACAGUUGGAAACGACUGCUAAUACCGCAUAAGCCCACGGCUCGGCAUCGAGCAGAGGGAAAAGGAGCAAUCCGCUUUGAGAUGGCCUCGCGUCCGAUUAGCUAGUUGGUGAGGUAACGGCCCACCAAGGCGACGAUCGGUAGCCGGACUGAGAGGUUGAACGGCCACAUUGGGACUGAGACACGGCCCAGACUCCUACGGGAGGCAGCAGUGGGGAAUAUUGCACAAUGGGGGAAACCCUGAUGCAGCGACGCCGCGUGGAGGAAGAAGGUCUUCGGAUUGUAAACUCCUGUUGUUGAGGAAGAUAAUGACGGUACUCAACAAGGAAGUGACGGCUAACUACGUGCCAGCAGCCGCGGUAAAACGUAGGUCACAAGCGUUGUCCGGAAUUACUGGGUGUAAAGGGAGCGCAGGCGGGAAGACAAGUUGGAAGUGAAAUCCAUGGGCUCAACCCAUGAACUGCUUUCAAAACUGUUUUUCUUGAGUAGUGCAGAGGUAGGCGGAAUUCCCGGUGUAGCGGUGGAAUGCGUAGAUAUCGGGAGGAACACCAGUGGCGAAGGCGGCCUACUGGGCACCAACUGACGCUGAGGCUCGAAAGUGUGGGUAGCAAACAGGAUUAGAUACCCUGGUAGUCCACACCGUAAACGAUGAUUACUAGGUGUUGGAGGAUUGACCCCUUCAGUGCCGCAGUUAACACAAUAAGUAAUCCACCUGGGGAGUACGACCGCAAGGUUGAAACUCAAAGGAAUUGACGGGGGCCCGCACAAGCAGUGGAGUAUGUGGUUUAAUUCGACGCAACGCGAAGAACCUUACCAAGUCUUGACAUCCUGCGACGGACAUAGAAAUAUGUUUUUCCUUCGGGACGCAGAGACAGGUGGUGCAUGGUUGUCGUCAGCUCGUGUCGUGAGAUGUUGGGUUAAGU